rnacentral:rRNA from 1 species
AUACGGAGGGGGCUAGCGUUGUUCGGAAUUACUGGGCGUAAAGGGCAUGUAGGCGGCUUGGCAAGUCGGUUGUGAAAGCCCGGGGCCCAACCCCGGAAUUGCAAUCGAAACUGCCUGGCUAGAGUCCCGGAGAGGAAGGCAGAAUUCCCGGUGUAGGGGUGAAAUCCGUAGAUAUCGGGAGGAAUACCAGUGGCGAAGGCGGCCUUCUGGACGGUGACUGACGCUGAGACGCGAAAGCGUGGGGAGCAAACAGGAUUAGAAACCCCGGUAGUCC